rnacentral:rRNA from 1 species
GUGCCAGCAGCCGCGGUAAUACAGAGGCCACAAGCGUUAGGCGGAAUCACUGGGCUUAAAGCGUGUGUAGGCGGGCCGUUAAGUGCUUUGUGAAAUCCCAUGGCUCAACCAUGGAAUUGCUUGGCAUACUGGCGGUCUUGAGCCACCCAGGGGCAGCUGGAACGAACGGUGGAGCGGUGAAAUGCGUAGAUAUCGUUCGGAACGCCAAAGGUGAAAACAGGCUGCUGGAGGUGUGCUGACGCUGAGACACGAAAGCCAGGGGAGCAAACGGGAUUAGAAACCCUGGUAGUCC